AAACCCCAAAUCUUUCACUUCUAACCUAUCCUUCCCCCCCCCCCCCCACUGCCAACCCACCAUUAUACCCACCGCCAUAACCCCUCUAUUCCCCUUUACACCCACCUCUCUCACCACCGUAAACCUCCAUUAUCAUCUCAAAUAUCAUCACCCUCAUCACUUCUCACUGUAAGCCCUUUAAACCUCCCUAACCGCCGAUUUGCAUGCUGACCUAACCUUCUUCUUCCACUGAUAACCUUUAUCACCCACCUCACCACCCAUUCUCCUUGUCACCACCGAUAACCCUCAACACUCCACUAUUCACUGCAAGAUAACCCAGUUAUCACCUACUAUCACCGCCGACCACCCUCUUCCUCAUCCCUAUUUCCUUUCCUCUGUUCACCACCGUAAACCCACCUAUCCUUCCCCCCCCCCCACUGUACACCGCCAGUACACCUUCUUCCCCCCCAUCCGCCGACGACCACCUUACCCUACUCCCCUAACCGCCGACAACCUUCCCCCUUUAUCACCCGCCGCCGACCGCAACCGAAACCUUUCUACCACCCAUCAUAGCCGAAACCUUUCUACCACCCAUCACAGCCGAUACCACUUUAAUCCCCACACUUAACCCCCCUAACCACCACCGUUAUUACAAUCUACUACCCGAUUUCCACCGUCAAAUCCAUCAGAUUUCACCAUAAAAAUCGGAUUUCAUUUUUGGGCUUAAAGGUUCAACCGAAAAAUUUCUCUAUUCUUCUUGUUUCUCUCGAAUCUCAGGAUGUCAAGUGAAGGUUCCUCGUCAGGCACCAAACGCAGGUGAGGUGCUUCCACGAGAUCUCAGGGGGCUGUUUAGGAGCAGCCGGCUGAUUUACCACUGAGAGUGGUCAGUUAUCGUGGAGCAGGGUUUGAGAUGAGGAGUAGAUGGUGUGGUUUGAGGAUGAUGCAGCAGUGAUCGAGCAUACCGUUUUUUGGAUGGGUUUUGGGGUUGGUUGA
rnacentral:lncRNA from 1 species